CAUACCUAGGGUUCGCGGAAGGCCUAAAGACCGCACCGCCUUGCAAAUAGAACCCUGCCGCCGCCGCCGUUCUUCUUCCUCCUCGCUUCGUGUUAGAGGGUCGUCCUUCUCAGAUCAGAGAUGGCGGUGCCGCUUCUGACGAGGAAGAUCGUGAAGAAGAGGGUCAAGCACUUCAAGAGGGCCCAUAGCGACCGCUACAUUGGCCUCAAGACCAGCUGGCGCAGGCCAAAGGGUAUUGAUUCCCGGGUGAGGAGAAAGUUCAAGGGAUGUACUUUGAUGCCCAACAUUGGCUAUGGUUCUGACAAGAAGACCAGGCAUUACCUGCCAAACAAGUUCAAGAAGUUUGUUGUCCACAAUGUCUCCGAGCUGGAGCUGCUUAUGAUGCACAACAGGACAUACUGUGCUGAGAUCGCCCACAACGUCUCUACCAAGAAGCGGAAGGACAUUGUGGAGCGUGCUGCACAGCUGGAUAUUGUUGUCACAAACAAGCUUGCUAGGCUUCGCAGCCAGGAGGACGAGUGAAAUGUUCUUCCAGUGCUAUUAUGGCCGCUUUGCUUGUUGGAAACUGUUUGCUCUGGGAGCUUGUUUACUCAUCUGUUACUUUUAUGAUAUGAACAUGCUGUUAUUAUCAGUAACGACUAGCAGGCUAAAAUUUUGUUAAUGGUAUCAACCUCUAAAUCAGAAACUUGCUUUGUCUCUUGAAGACAGCAUGCUGAUCGUCUUGUUACUUUGCCAAGUCCU
rnacentral:rRNA from 1 species